rnacentral:tRNA from 2 species
GGGGCCUUAGCUCAGCUGGGAGAGCGCCUGCUUUGCACGCAGGAGGUCAGCGGUUCGUCCCCUCUAGGCUCCA